rnacentral:rRNA from 1 species
GACGGAGGGGGCUAGCGUUGUUCGGAAUCACUGGGCGUAAAGGGCGCGUAGGCGGCCCUGUAAGCCAGGCGUGAAAUCCCGGGGCUCAACCUCGGAACUGCGCUUGGAACUACAGGGCUUGAGUAUCGGAGGGGAUGGUGGAAUUCUGAGUGUAGAGGUGAAAUUCGUAGAUAUUCAGAGGAACACCGAUGGCGAAGGCAGCCAUCUGGACGAUAACUGACGCUGAGGCGCGAAAGCGUGGGGAGCAAACAGG